AUGUCGUCCCGCUCUACCUCUGCCAUUGUCGCCAGGGUGGUGAGCGGGCACCACCUGCUCAAGAUCGACGGGUACUCGCAAACCAAGGUGGUCACCAAUGGUAGGCACAUCGAGUCUUGCAUCUUCCAUGUCGGAGGCCACGCCUGGCGCAUCAAGUAUUACCCCAACGGCCGAAGCUCAGAUAAUUCCAAUUGCAUAUCUGUCUUCAUUCAGCUUGCCAGUGUUAGCAUGGACUUGCCCUUCAAGCCUGACAAGGGCAUCUCAGCUCAAUGUGUGCUCGGUUUACUGGACCGGGCUGGGAAGCCUGUGCCAUCAUAUACCUUCACCUUCGACAGAAUUUUCACGGCCCCUGAAGGGCAGUGGGGCUUGAACAUAUUCCUCACAAGGUCAGAAUUGGAGAACUCAGGUUGCCUCAAGGACGACUGCUUCACUCUCAGGUGCGACAUCACUGUCACAGAGUUGCACGCCGAGGAAACAGAGGAUAGUGAUUUCACCGAUCUCCUGUGGAAGGAGGGGGCAGAUGUGGCCUUCCAUGUGGGCGGCGAGACAAUCGUCGCCCAUCAAUGGGUGCUGGCUGCCCGGUCUCCAAUCUUGAAGGCAGCAGCAGAAGCAGAGCUCCUUGGCAUGUCGGAAAGGGAGAAGAAGAAGACGCCCAUGGCCACCAUAAGGAUCGACGACAUGGAGGCAAAAGUGUUCAAGGCUUUGCUCCACUACAUAUACACCAAUGCAUUGCCUGAUGAGAUGGACAAGGGUGAUGAUGCAGCGACAGCAAUGGCGCAUGGAUUGCUUGAAGCAGCGGAUAGGUACAAGAUGGAGAGGCUGAAGAUGAUCUGCGAAGACAUGAUGUGCAAAUAUGUCUCCACGAGCACAGUGAUAACCACGCUGGUGUUAGCGGAGCAGCACCACUCCCAGAGGCUCAAGGCGGCAUGCAUCGACUUCCUCAUCUCCCCGAACAAUAUGAAAGUCGUCUUGGAAAAUGGCGGUUUCAAACAUUUACAGAGGAGCUGCCCCUCUGUUCUCAUGGACCUCGUAGAAAGGGCAAAAGCGGCCUGA
rnacentral:rRNA from 1 species